AUCAGAAUCAGAGAUAUAUAGAGUAAGUGGUU
rnacentral:guide_RNA from 1 species